rnacentral:rRNA from 1 species
GAUUAUGGCUCACAUUGAACGCCGGCGGCAUGCCUUACACAUGCAAGUCUAACGGCAGCAUGAUCUAGCUUGCUAGAUUGAUGGCGAGUGGCGAACGGGUGAGUAAUACAUCGGAACGUGCCCUGUAGUGGGGGAUAACUAGUCGAAAGAUUAGCUAAUACCGCAUACGACCUGAGGGUGAAAGUGGGGGAUCGCAAGGCCUCAUGCUAUAGGAGCGGUCGAUGUCUGAUUAGCUAGUUGGUGGGGUAAAGGCCCCCCCAGGCGACCAUCAGUAGCUGGUCUGAGAGGACGAUCAGCCACACUGGGACUGAGACACGGCCCCAGACUCCCUACGGGAGGCAGCAGUGGGGAAUUUUGGACAAUGGGCGAAAGCCUGAUCCCGCAAUGCCGCGUGUGUGAAGAAGGCCUUCGGGUUGUAAAGCACUUUUGUCUCGGAAAGAAAUGGCUCUGGUUAAUACCUGGGGUCGAUGACGGUACCGGAAGAAUAAGGACCGGCUAACUACGUGCCAGCAGCCGCGGUAAUACGUAGGGUCCAAGCGUUAAUCGGAAUUACUGGGCGUAAAGCGUGCGCAGGCGGUUGUGCAAGACCGAUGUGAAAUC